UACGUAGGUGGCAAGCGUUGUCCGGAUUUAUUGGGCUUAAAGGGUGCGUAGGCGGCCCUGUAAGUCAGUGCUGAAAUAUCCCGGCUUAACCGGGAGGGUGGCAUUGAUACUGCAGGGCUUGAGUACAGAUGAAGUAGGCGGAAUUGACGGUGUAGCGGUGAAAUGCAUAGAUAUCGUCAAGAACACCGAUAGCGAAGGCAGCUUACUAAGCUGUAACUGACGCUGAGGCACGAAAGUGUGGGGAUCAAACAGG
rnacentral:rRNA from 1 species